rnacentral:guide_RNA from 1 species
AACUCACAACACAGAGAUAAAUGUAGACUAGAUAGUGUGAUAAU